CGUUCCCGGUUCAUGGUAUCCACGAUUGUUUUUCUCACUUUUCUUCUCCUUCUUCUAGUUCAUCAACUCCUUUUACACUGCCCUAAACGUCGACCACCAUUAUCAAUGUCGCCAGCGAGAUCAAGAUUUUCGCUAUAGUAGUAACACAACUCUCCGCUUAGUCUCCUUCAUCUCUGCAUCUUCCAGUUCGACUUCCUAAACCAUUCACCGAUGUAUCUCCUUGUUUCGUCUCUGUGAUAAGUUGAGCUUCUCACUUCAUCGUUUCUCUCAUUCUAGGUUUUUUUUUAGUUCCUUUCAUCUUUGAUGCCUACUCUCUUUGAGGUUGACAAUUCUUAUAUGAUCAUGGUUAGUAAGAGGUUUAGUUUCUGUUUCAAUUAAUUUCUUUAAAUUUGGUAUAACUGUAUAAGACCACAAUCAAUUGAUUUUGUUACUACAAUUGAUUUCGUUACUUUGUUCUCCUAUUCCACCCUUUCGUUUUCAUUUAUCCAUGUUUUUUUCUUUUCCAUGCUCUUCUAUCUGCACAUUUUAUAGGAGGUUUAGAUACUAUUAUACAUCGUGUAUUAUACAUUGUGGUGGAUUUCGAGAAUUAUUUCCUAGAACCAUAAGAGUAAAAUGCAUGAGUGAUGUUGAAUUGUUCCUCGACUAGUAAAUAUCAUCCAACGAACUUUCAAUUCAAAUGUUAUUUAUUGGAUCUGGUCAUAAAUCUUAGUUCUAAUUAGUUCAAUGUACUUAAGUUAUUGUUGCAGUAUUGAUGCUUUUAGUUGUCGCAGCUUAAGGAAUGUAUAUGCUAGUCGCCGAAGUUGCAAUCUUCGCUUUAUUGCCUUCUUUGGCUAGUCGCUAAGGUGGUGGCCCUUUCCUUGAUUCAUUUCAUACUUGAAUUUCCUGCCAUUCAAAUUCAUUGUUUUUAUAUUAAGCAUAAUUUGACAUCAUUUUAAUAUUUCAUCUUCUUGAUUCUAACCUUGGUCUACUGAGAAUUAUGGAAUGCUUGGUCUAGUUUACUAUAGCUGAUGAAAUGGUUCUUGGUAAGGAUUAUUAAUCUCUAUUUGGAAUUGCUAUCACUGGGUUGGCUUUCUGAAUCAUGUGUCCGCCUUUAGAUGUUAAAAGCAGCGAUAUCAAGUUACUAAAACGUCAAGGAAUUUGUACCAAUCUCAUCAACAACACAUAUCAAGUUACUAAAACGUCAAGGAAUUUGUACUAAUCUCAUCAACAACAACUAUGGAUCAAGUUAUUGAAGAAGGGUGAUUUUGCAUAUGAGAACUCUGCCAUGACAGGGUCAAACAUUGAAGAGACCUUGAAGAGGCUUGUGACUCAACUGAAGAAGACCCCCCAAGAAGUCUUUGAUGCUCUCAUGAACCAAACUGUGGAUUUGGUCCUAAUUGCUAAUCCUACUCAGUCUAUUCACAAAUCUUUGCUGCAAAAGCAUGGAAGGUAUAUUUGUUACAUUACAUUAACUAAUAUCUGUUAUAUUAUGAAGGAUGGCACUGAAUAUGCUGAGAAGAAUGGUAUGUUUUUCAUAGAGACAUCUACAAAGACAGCAGAUAAUAUAAAUGAACUGUUUGAGGACAUUGUUGACUAUGCCACUAGCAAGCUCCCCUUGAUGUUCUUGCUGCCUGAAGAUAGUUGUACUUGUAGCAAACUCAUAUAGACCUAUUGGAGGGGCUAAAGAUGAUCUUGAAAUAGGAAUUCCGUUCUACAAAAAUCCAAGAUUGCAUCUUUUCCAUCAAAGCAUCUCGUCCUCCAACUCAUGGAGUUCUUAGUCAAGGAAUUGGUUUGGAGGGUCUUUCUAGUGUCUUGGUUGGUCUUUGGGGAACUCGAACAGGGUAUCUACCACCUUAAUUGAAAAUGUGCAUACCAUUGUCGUAACUAAAAUGUGAAGCCGCAGAGCAGUUCAAUUGGGUGCAUGCUUCCUCAUACUGUUGUCAUUUGAGGGAGGUUAGACUAAUACUUGACCUUCAUUAUUUAGCAUGACAAUCUAGAUACUGCUGCCGACAUUCUAUCUUGUUUGGAUGGCCUUCCAUCUCUUAAGUUUCUUUAUUUUGCAUAUAACAGGUUCAAUACAUCUUCAUUAAACCACGGACAAGCAUGGAUAGUAAUCAAUUAUGUUCUUCCAGAGAAGAGUUUCAGUUUUACAAUGUCAGAUAUCAAGUACUCCUCCUGUAUUGGUGAAGAGGUUGAUGGUUUAAGAGGAAGGUAUAUCCUUAGAUUAACUACAGUUAUAGUCCAUCAUAUACCAGCAUUCUAGAAGGUUGCUCUCUUUAUUUUCAGUGGAAAAUUUGCUAAGGGAAGACUUCACAACGUAUGCAGAUGUGUUCUUUCGAGAAUUUGGUGACAAAGUUAAGCACUAGACUACAGCGAAUAAGGCCGAUGCAUGUGUAGUUUUUGGCUAUGAUUUAGGUUUCUGAUCAAGGAAGUGUGCCAACUAAUACAACAAGUUAUGUACAUGAGGAAAAUCAUAUGUGAUAGUUGAAGAAUAUAAUAUAAUGUGGAAGUUAAUUGAAUCAUUUUAUGUUUUGAGAACCAUUGCAGUACUUCAUGAUAGUUUUUGCUGACUAAUAUUGUACUUGAAUUUGAAUUUGAAUUCGUAUAUUUGUUAUACUUUGAUAUACA